rnacentral:rRNA from 1 species
UACGUAGGGUGCGAGCGUUAAUCGGAAUUACUGGGCGUAAAGCGUGCGCAGGCGGUAAGUUAAGUCUGAUGUGAAAGCCCCGGGCUCAACCUGGGAACGGCAUUGGAAACUGGCUUGCUGGAGUGUGGCAGAGGGGGGUGGAAUUCCGCGUGUAGCAGCGAAAUGCGUAGAGAUGCGGAGGAACACCGAUGGCGAAGGCAGCCCCCUGGGCCAACACUGACGCUCAGGCACGAAAGCGUGGGGAGCAAACAGG